UACGUAGGGACCAAGCGUUGUUCGGAAUUACUGGGCGUAAAGGGCGCGUAGGCGGCCUGCUAAGUCGGACGUGAAAUCCCCCGGCUCAACCGGGGAACUGCGUCCGAUACUGAAAGGCUUGAAUCCGGGAGAGGGACGUGGAAUUCCAGGUGUAGCGGUGAAAUGCGUAGAUAUCUGGAGGAACACCGGUGGCGAAGGCGGCAUCCUGGACCGGUAUUGACGCUGAGGCGCGAAAGCGUGGGGAGCGAACAGG
rnacentral:rRNA from 1 species